rnacentral:rRNA from 1 species
UACAGAGGUCUCAAGCGUUGUUCGGAUUCAUUGGGCGUAAAGGGUGCGUAGGCGGCUUGGCAAGUCGGGUGUGAAACCUCCAGGCUCAACCUGGAGACGCCACUCGAGACUGCUAUGGCUAGAGUCCGGUAGGGGACCACGGAAUUCCUGGUGUAGCGGUGAAAUGCGCAGAUAUCAGGAGGAACGACCGGUGGCGAAGGCGGUGGUCUGGGCCGGCACUGACGCUGGAGGAGCGAAAGCGUGGGUAGCAAACAGG